ensembl:lncRNA
UGUAUGUCUAUAUAUUAGAAACGUGGCCAAAAGUUUUCCUUUCUCAUGUUACAGUAGCACUUAGAUUUCUGACCAUUUUUAGAAACAGGAUUAACAGAAUCUUGAAAAAAGAAAAAAUGAAAGAAAAAAACAAUUUUAGGCAAUGUAAGGUUAGAAAAAAAGUCCCUUUUGGUGAAAGCUUAAAUAAGUUCCUGCUUUGUGAAACAGAAUUCACUCAUGAACUCACAGACGUAAAACAGGUUUGCCAGAUUCCCUGUAACAAGCGCUAACCAAUUCUUCGAACAUAAAACAUUCCCACUCCCUCUGCUUGGAACCUUAAAAUACAUCACUGAAUAAUCAGGUCCUUUAGCACUGCAGUGUUUUGCAAUUAGACUUUAUCCGGGGAUUAUUCUACUUUCAUUCUCAGAAGUGCUGAGAAGCAAAAAGUACAGCAAUUCCCUUUAUUUUCUAUUGUGAGAGAAAAAGGAGCCAAACAGCAGAGUUGGGUAAAUUCCACUUACCUACUUUUAAUUUCAGCCUCCCCAGUGUCAUUUGCCAGUAAGAACCUAGGUCAGGAUUUCACACUUAUUCAGUGAAGUCACUUGUAUUGAAGCCUUGCAACUUUUACUAAUGUGUAAGCCAUAAAGCAUGAAAGUACACAUUCAUUUUAAGUUAAGUUUGCAGUACAAGCAGCCAAGAGAAGCACUGCUCUGCCUCCCUCUCCACCCAGCUACCAAAACCUGCCUUCAAAAUGUUCAAGGAAUUUUACCCCACAAAAAGAUUGUGCUAAUGGAUGCCACUUCCUAAAAAAAAACAAAAAAAAACCUGUCACAAAUACACGAUGAACAAGGGGAAAUAUAACAGCUAUUCUGAGUUGGAUGACAACAGUUUCAGAGAAAAACUUCCUUUAAAAACAGACUAUUGAAUCACCCUUUCCUAUUUGUGGUUGCAUUUGUCAGCCUGUUCUUUUUCCACAAUGGAAAAUAAGCAAGUGAUGUCCGGCAUCACGUUUGGGCUUUCUGCUACAAACAGAAAACAUCUUGCAGGUUAUGAGGAGCAGCAGCACACUCUUAGAAGUGAUCUUGCUAACGAACGGAGAAGCAAACAAAGUUCUGGCUUCCUGAAUGAAUGCCAGAAAUGCUCCUACCAUUUGCCAGAAAGUGAACUUACUGCAGUGAAAAAAGUGGCUUCAAUAAGCCCAAGAAGAGAGCAAUAGAACAACCAAAUGAUCAUGAACAACCUGGUAGGUAGUAAUUACAGCCAUAAAACUGUUGCUAUUUACUCACUCUGUUUGUUUGUUUGUUUG